GAUGAACGCUGGCGGCGUGCCUAAUACAUGCAAGUCGAGCGAACAGACGAGGAGCUUGCUCCUCUGACGUUAGCGGCGGACGGGUGAGUAACACGUGGAUAACCUACCUAUAAGACUGGGAUAACUUUGGGAAACCGGAGCUAAUACCGGAUAAUAUAUUGAACCGCAUGGGUCAAUAGUGAAAUACGGUUUUGCGGUCACUUAUAGAUGGAUCCGCGCCGCAUUAGCGAGUUGGUCAGGUAACGGCUUACCAAGGCGACGAUGCGUAGCCGACCUGAGAGGGUGAUCGGCCACACUGGAACUGAGACACGGUCCAGACUCCUACGGGAGGCAGCAGUAGGGAAUCUUCCGCAAUGGGCGAAAGCCUGACGGAGCAGCGCCGCGUGAGUGAUGAAGGUCUUCGGAUCGUAAAACUCUGUUAUUAGGGAAGAACAAAUGUGUAAGUAACUAUGCACGUCUUGACGGUACCUAAUCAGAAAGCCACGGCUAACUACGUG
rnacentral:rRNA from 1 species